GCAAUCGCACAAAUGUCAGCGCGGCCCAGGGAGCGUGACACAGGCUAUGCGCCAGUCAGCGUGACACAGGCGGGCAAUAAACAAUUACAUCGGACCUUAGUGAACCAAGGGGGCCUCUUCUCAAACAAACAGUGGUGUUAAAAAUAAUCUAAGAGACUGGGGCACUGGCCUUGGCUCCAGGGUCUCUGUGAAGAAACUAAACAGACAGAUGGGGUAAGAGAGAGAGGGCAACACAGAGAAGGGCAACAAGCUGUGAUGCAGAUUCAAGCACCUGAUGACAAACUCUCCCAUCUGCCCAUUUUCAGACGACGAGUGUUGUGGAGGGACGUUUGAUCACUUAAAGGAAAACUCCGGCAAUUAUUCACAUAGAUUUCUCGAGGUCACCAAGUACUGUCGGUACGAAAAUAAAAAAAACGGUGCUUCCUAGCCCAA